AAUUCAUACAUGCAGUUUUGUAAAUAUGGCUACGUUUAAUUUUACCACUGCUUUUCAUAUAUUAUGCAAACUUAUGUUAGGUAUAUAGUAAGAGGUAAUUUCAUUGUAUCAUGUGUAACACGAUUUCUAAACUGACCAUUUGAGGCUUUAAUUGUGAAUUUGUAUAGAUAAAUAGGCAUACAGUUAAAUGUGGACUGCAGUCAGAGACAUGAUUGAGUACUUUAUUAAUCUUGAAUAUUCAAUUAAGAUUAAUGUUGUCAUGAUAUCCUACUAAACUUUACAUUCAUAGUUAAACUGUUAAGAUACAUUUGUAACCGUGUACAAUUUAGUUUCUCACCUGAUUUUGUUACAUUUGUUAAGAUUUCUAGAAGACGACAUACGCAUUAUUUUAUGCUGAAUGAUUAAGUUUUUUCUACUAUGUGACGUUGUGUUUGCAUAGUACAAUACAUUAGGUAUAUCAGGUGUUUUUGGCAACUUGCAUCUAAAUUGCAGGGGAAAAAAUCAGGGACAGAUUGAUGUGUUUGACUUUUUAUUAUAAUUACGACUUUUGACAAAUGCAUACCAUAGCUUUAGGUUUUAUCUGUAUAAAAGCAUUUAAAAAGCCUUGACAGUUUAAAUUACGCUACGUGUAUACCGAUGAUAUAAAUUUAAGCAAAUGGUUAUUUUUUUUUAAUUAAUAUAAUAUAAAAUACAGAGAGUUUAAAUUUUUACUGACCAGUAUCUGGCGACAAUAGUAUGCGAUUGACAUACGACUAAGAAAUCACCUUCAUCGUUUGCAUUCGACACUGACUCUAACUUGUUGUGUAAAUAUUUAUGUAUAUUUUUUUCUGCAUUUGUAUUGUUAGACAUAACUGCAAUGGUAACUUCUUCAUUAUAGAAUAUUAUAAGAGCUA
rnacentral:lncRNA from 1 species